CUGAGGAUGCAGAGAUGAAUGAGACACGAUGUGGCACUGUCCUCAAGGUGCUCUCGAAUCGGUGUUGGGGGAAUGUGGUGAAAAGAAAAGAAAGAGGGAAGUCAGAGACACAGGCGGCUCACACAGGAGGAGGAGGUAGAAAUAUUCCUGCUCCAUGUUUCCUUUUUGCCCUCUGGACUGAGUCCUUUUGACGAAAGAACACUCAGAACCUGCUGAGCUUUGGGCUGGCACUGGGAUUCACUCACUCUCAGACAAAGCCUCGGAUGCACAGCAGUGGUUCCGGUUGGGUCUUCACCUCCUCUCCUCUGGAACAGCGUGUGCAUCAAAACAGGGAAAUCACCUGUGGGAUUCCCAUAUGUAAAACACACCUCAAAUUGGAGCCACCUGCGUGAAGGAGGUUUCAUGAACACCGAAAACACCAGCCUUUGGCUUUUCCUCAGUGAGAGCCCACAGCGCCUCCUUGUGGACUAUCUGAUAAACUGGAACCAGUUCUCGCAGGGCUGAAGGACGGUGGUCACCUAGAGGCAUUGCCCAGGAUCUGCACUGCGCUGUCCACCCAGGAAUUACUCUGUUUUCUUCUACUUUUAAAUAAAUUUGGGAGAUGGGCUGGGUGUGGUGGCUCACACCUGUAAUUUCAGCGUUUUGGAAGACCGAGGCGGGAGGACGGCGUGGGACCAGGAGUUCAUGACUGGCCUGGGCAACACAGUGAGACCCUGUCUCUAUUUUAAACAACGACAACAACAUAUUUAAAAAAUAAAAAUAAGAAAAUAAAUUUGGAAGAUGAACACAUUCUAUUUUAAUUCUGUUAGUGAUCAGUAAAACUGGCUUAAAAGCUGAGUUUCCUUUGGUUCCCUUUUGUUUUAUAAAAAAUGUCUGUGUGUACCUUUGUCAACAGCCUGAAUCCUAUGAAUCACAGGUUCCCCUGGGGAAGAUGGGGGUUUGAGUUUGGUUUCUUACUUGUGUUUAUAGGGUUCUGGGCAACUUGGGAGGGCGAGACACUAUGCCCUCAUGGGAUAACACUAAUU
rnacentral:lncRNA from 1 species